rnacentral:lncRNA from 1 species
AAAAAAACAAAGAAAUAAUAAAAAAAACAACACAAACGUGAAAGAAAACAUUAUGAAUAAUAAACUCAUACUAUAUAGACUCUACUAGUCUUUUCAGCCGCAUGAUGUUGUAAGAUAACACGGUUCUCACUAUCUGGGGUUCCCCUUUCCCAAAACCUCUCUCCUUCUAUCGUCGCCUUCUUUCGAAACAACACAAAUGAAAUGACACGUUCGAC